GUAGGGUGCAAGCGUUAAUCGGAAUUACUGGGCGUAAAGCGUGCGCAGGCGGUUAUGCAAGACAGAGGUGAAAUCCCCGGGCUCAACCUGGGAACUGCCUUUGUGACUGCAUAGCUAGAGUACGGUAGAGGGGGAUGGAAUUCCGCGUGUAGCAGUGAAAUGCGUAGAUAUGCGGAGGAACACCGAUGGCGAAGGCAAUCCCCUGGACCUGUACUGACGCUCAUGCACGAAAGCGUGGGGGGAGCAAACAGGAUUAGAUACCCUGGUAGUCCACGCCCUAAACCGAUGUCAACUGGUUGUUGGGAGGGUUUCUUCUCAGUAACGUAGCUAACGCGUGAAGUUGACCGCCUGGGGAGUACGGCCGCAAGGUUG
rnacentral:rRNA from 1 species